rnacentral:sRNA from 1 species
UUUUGUUUAUACCGUCGCUUGUGUUGGUGUCAUUUCGUAAGCGAAAGCUCGUUUAGCACGUAUUUAAAAGAAUUAAAAUUAAAAACUGAUUGGUGUAGGCGAUAUAAAAGAACAGGCGGAACGCUACCGCACGUACAUAUACCAAUGUAAAUAGAUAUGUAUGUAUGUCAUUGCAAAGUAAAAAAAUUGUCUUCAGUGCGUGAAGUACGAGUUUAAUUACUACCCAACUUCAACGGUUCGUCUAUUGCUGGUCGUUUUUGAUUCGGGUCUGACAGCUUAAUGGUCGGGAAUAGAACGACGCGUGGACAUGUACCAGCCAACUUUCCAGCCAUCAGUCGAUCCGAGAAAAGAAAAGCUCAAGAAAAUCAUGCCUAUAUUUCCCUGAUAAAUCGCAUACAAACCACUCAAAGCGUGUUCUGCCUUGCCGAUCGGCGGGGUGCCUGCCAGGCAAACGAAAUUUAGUUAAAUUCGCAACACAUCAAGGGCACAUAGGGCAGAACGGUGGCGGGGCGACUGCGACGGCGGCGCGAGAUGGAAAACUAUAAUUGUAUUGCAUAUGUUCUCGUGCAUGUUGAUGUGUCCGUCUUUGUUCGUGUGGAUUUGUUCUAAGCCGUAUUUUUUGAUAUUGUGCAUACUGUUCCCGCGCGCCUCUUGGCACACUCAUUUUUUUCUAUUUUUUCCGUGUACGUAUACGACAGUUUUUAAAGAAGUGCAAAAUGGUUGCAGGUCGGCUACUGCCCAACUGUUGCACUCAUCGCUUUUGCAAUCCAAACGAAACCGAAAUUAAACCAAACAAAAUCUCCCCCAAAAUAGUGUACUCCUUUUAGCGAUAUGCUUCUACUGAAUAAUCAUUUUAUCAAAUAUGUACGUAGCUGUAUGUAGCUGCUUUUACCCUUCGAUUUAUAUUCCAUUCAAUAGCAUAGACAUUACACGACGUUCGCGGAGCAAUAAUUAAAUACAGAUGUAUGUAUGUAUGUAUAUACACUUAUAGAUAUGUAGUCAAGCUUCAAACGGGAAAGGAACAGACAGCGACACCUGUAAUCACUGGAACCAACAGUAACAGCCAGAGAAGUUUUUCGUUGACGUACAGUUAAUUAUUUUAUAUACAUACAUAUGUACAUCGGAUACGUACUUACAUAUGUAGCACAUAAUACUGUGAAAAAAUAGCAAGAAAAAUAGCCAUGAAAACUUGCAAAUCUUAAUGUUAUACAUGAUUUCCAAGUGGUAUUAAAUUACAAAAGCAACAAAUCAAAACAAAAACAAGAGGCAUAUCAAGUGGCUUCACAGACAGUCGAACCUUUUUGUAUACUGGUGAUCUCGACAUCGUAAUCGCAAUCGUAAUCGCAAUCGUAAUCGUAAUCGUCAUCGUGGCCGCAGUCUGUGUCUCCAGCUUGCUACAAGCGUUAGUAUAGGAGCGACAAGAACACAAGGAACUAAUGAAAUAACUAAUUGAAAGGAGUCCAUCCAAACUCGAAAAGUUCCCUCAAGAAGGGUUCAUGAGAUUCGGAGUCAUUUUCACCAAGUCAGUGCGGUACGGCAGUGCCUACGCCGACGGCAAAUGGUCAAAGCAAACGACAAAGUUUUGAUUCUAUGUGCUGGUUUUUGGAUGCCGCUGCCAACCCACGGUUUUGACUGUUCUACUAUUUUACUUUUGUGCACGGCAGUAACUUUUGUGUUUCUUCAUCGAAAGCGUAAAGUGAUACAAAACAAAUACAAAGAAGAAUCAAGGUACUGGUAGAUGCGACAACGACCUUGGAUUGAAAGCCGACGCCAAUGAAGGUUUUUAGUGAGAAUUCAUGUAAUGUGUAAUCAAUUAAUUGAGUAAAUCCGCCUGAAUACUUACUCAGUUAAAUGAAAGCGGCGUCAAGAGCCAUAUGGGUCUCAACAUAAGCUGGAAAAACUAAAAUUGCAAUAAAAUCCAGAAAUUGAAUCCACUUAAUUGAAUCCACGCCAACAUCAUGGACUGUGAUUACUCAAAAUUCUUGUACAAAAGCACUAUGUGAGCGAAAAUGAUACAGACUCAUUGCUCUGGAGAGAUAUACCGGAACGAUCCAAUCCGACCAAACGAAGCUUCGACUGAAGCCGUCGUCAAGAAUUAAAUGCAAGCCCCGUGGAACAAAAUUCAUUGCCGAAAGUAAAUG